rnacentral:rRNA from 1 species
UACGGGGGGAGCAAGCGUUGUUCGGAUUUACUGGGCGUAAAGGGCGCGUAGGCGGUCGGUCAAGUCACUUGUGAAAUCUCCGGGCUUAACCCGGAGCGGCCAAGUGAUACUGUUCGACUGGAGUGCAGAAGGGGCGACUGGAAUUCUCGGUGUAGCGGUGAAAUGCGUAGAUAUCGAGAGGAACACCUGUGGCGAAGGCGGGUCGCUGGGCUGACACUGACGCUGAGGCGCGAAAGCUAGGGGAGCGAACGGGA